UUUAUUAUUUUGAAAAAUGUCAAC
rnacentral:piRNA from 1 species